rnacentral:rRNA from 1 species
GACGAACCGUGCGAACGUUGUUCGGAAUCACUGGGCUUAAAGGGCGCGUAGGCGGGCUCACAAGUCAGGGGUGAAAUCCCACGGCUCAACCGUGGAAGUGCCUUUGAUACUGUGGGUCUUGAGGGAGGUAGGGGCGUGCGGAACUUCCGGUGGAGCGGUGAAAUGCGUAGAUAUCGGAAGGAACACCGGUGGCGAAAGCGGCGCGCUGGACCUCUACUGACGCUGAGGCGCGAAAGCCAGGGGAGCAA